AGUGAACGCUGGCGGUAUGCUUAACACAUGCAAGUCGAACGGCAGCACAGUAAGAGCUUGCUCUUACGGGUUGCGAGUGGCGGACGGGUGAGGAAUACAUCGUACUCUACUCUUUCGUGUGGGCUAGCGUAGCUAAACUUACUCUCAUACCGCAUACGACCUACGGUUGUAAGCAGGGGAUCUUCGCGCCUUGCGCGGUUGUAUGAGCCGAUCUCGGAUUAGCUAGUUUGCGGGGUUACGGCCCACCAGGCCGACGAUCCGUAGCUGGUCUGAGAGGAUGAUCAGCGACACUGGAACUGAGACAGGGACAAGACGCCUGAGGGAGGCAGCAGUGGGGAAUAGGGGGCAAUGGGCGGAAGCAUGAUCCAGAGAGAGCGAGUGGGUGAAGAAGGCCUUGGGGUGGGAAAGACGUUUUGUGGGGAAAGAAAAGCAGCAGGUUAAGACGAAGCUGUGCUGACGGUACCAGAAGAAUAAGCACCGGCUAACUUCGUG
rnacentral:rRNA from 1 species